rnacentral:rRNA from 1 species
UACGUAGGUGGCAAGCGUUGUCCGGAUUUACUGGGCGUAAAGAGCGCGCAGGCGGUCGUUCAAGUCGCGUGUGAAAGCCCCCGGCUCAACUGGGGAGGGUCACGCGAUACUGAUCGACUCGAAGGCAGGAGAGGGUAGUGGAAUUCCCGGUGUAGUGGUGAAAUGCGUAGAUAUCGGGAGGAACACCAGUGGCGAAGGCGACUACCUGGCCUGUUUACUGACGCUG